rnacentral:ncRNA from 1 species
CAAAAGUUUUAUUCUAGCUUAGAAUUUGGGUUUAGUUUUAUAUCACAUGCAAGCCUAAGCAUAAGGGUUAAUUUAAAUAGUUAAUUAGAAGUUAUUUCGCAGUGGGAAAAUUUAAAUAUCAAUGGUAGUUGGAUUUAGGAAUAAUUAAAUCAAUAUUAACAAAAUUUGUGCCAGCAGUUGCGGUUACACAAAUAAUAUUACUCAAAUUUUUCGGUUGUAGUUAGUUGAAUAAAUUACUUUAAAAUACAAUUUAUGGGGUGAAAUUUUAAGUUGUUUAAAGGUAAAUUAAAUUAGGCGAGGCUAAGAAAUUCAAUAUAAAACUAGGAUUAGAUACCCUAUUAUUAAGAACGUUAAUUUAUAUACCAGGUUAGUAUUAGUUGUGUUCUUGAAAAUUAAAGAUUUUGGCGGUACUUUAGUCUAUUUAGAGGAACCUGUCCUAUAAUUGACGAUCCACGAUUUUACCUACUUUUUUUAAUAGUUUAUAUAUCGUCGUAGUUUGAAUAUGUUUUUAGAUUCUGUAAUGUUCAAGAUUCUUUAUCUAAGAAGAAUAUCAGAUCAAGGUGUAGCUGAUAAAAAAGCAGAGAUGGGUUACAAUAAAUUUAUUUUGUAGGAUUUACAUAUUUAUAGAUGUGAUGAAUAUGGAUUUAAGGGUAAUUUUACUUAGAUUACUAAAAUGAUUUAGGCUCUAAAGUAUGCACAUAUCGCCCGUCGCUUUCACUUUAAGGUGAAAUAAGUCGUAACAUAGUAGGCCUACCGGAAGGUGGGCCUGGGUAGAC